rnacentral:rRNA from 1 species
UGCGCAGGCGGCUUAUUAAGUCAGUGGUGAAAUCUCUCGGCUCAACCGAGAAACUGCCAUUGAAACUGAUAAGCUUGAGUUUGGUUGUGGUAGGCGGAAUAUAGCAUGUAGCGGUGAAAUGCUUAGAUAUGCUAUAGAACACCGAUCGCGAAGGCAGCUUACCAAGCCAUUACUGACGCUCAUGCACGAAAGCGUGGGGAGCAAACAGGAUUAGAUACCCUGGUAGUCC